GAGAGAUUACGACUGGAACUGCUUGAAUUCAACAUGACUGAGUUCAAAGCAGUGUUCGGGGAGAAGAGACCUCCCUAAAUCCUGAGGUUUUCCUACUUCAGCGUGGUCUGCACAGGAGGUGGUGGAUCUCGCUGCUGUGUGGGGAUAAGAGUCUGUGCAGGCAGAGCUCCGAUCCAGCAGAAGAAACGCUGACAUCUAUGCAGAUCACUCGUGGAAUGGGGGAGAAGGGCUACACGAGGGACACACAACAGUGCUGUGUGAAAAUAAAAACUUCACCAAGCGUACCAGAAGGCAAGGGAGGCAAACAGUCGUUCUGGUGCUGAACCCCACACAUGCUGGUUCUACAACAAGCUGUAUGGGAUUCUCGGGGGUGAUGCUACCAGCACCCCCACAAGCAACGUGGACACCUCAGAGGUGGAUGAUAUGGUGGAUGAGGAAGAGGAGGGGGAGGAGAAUGGGAGACAGGCGAGUGGUGGAACCAUUCUCCCCUGUGGGUCACAGGGCAUCAUGGUGGCCGACCGUGAUACCGGGGAAGGCACCUCUGCUGGAAAUGUGUCCUUCGACAUGUCAUCCACACCUGAAAGCAGACUUUCGCUGAUUAGAAGGAGAAACAGAACGCAGGAGGACAGAUAAUGAACACCUCCGGGACAGCUGACACAGAGCUGAGAGCAUGGAGGAUUUCACUGUCUGAGAAGUUAGACAUGGAGAGCAGGAAAGCUUCCAAUGAGCAAGAGUGUUUGGCGCAGGAUGAGAUGCUUUGGAUUAUGAGGGACCAAGCAGUCAUGUUGAGGCGUCUGGUUGAAUUGCAGGAACAGAAACAGGAGGGUAGAGUCCCUCUGCAGACCCUGGUGGACAGCCUGCCAGCAUCGCCUGGCGCAGCAUCACCCUCCCCUAAGUGUUCCAUGAGACAUGGGUGAAAAGUCCAUUGUCUCUUUCGCUUUUUGGGGGUAGGGGAGUGGGAGGGUAUAAGGAACAGAAGGUGCCCGUUCACAGAGCUCUGAUAACACCACAUUCCAGAUUAUGUUACACCGCUGAAAAUGUUUCUCCUAUUCCAACUUUACAAUCCCUUUUCCCCAAAGGGACCUUUUCCUUCUG